rnacentral:rRNA from 1 species
GGAUUAGAUACCCUGGUAGUCCACGCGGUAAACGAUGAGAACUGGACGUAGGUUGGGUCACCGAUCUGUGUCGCAGCAAACGCGUUAAGUUCUCCGCCUGGGGAGUACGGCCGCAAGGUUGAAACUCAAAGGAAUUGACGGGGGCCCGCACAAGCGGUGGAGCAUGUGGUUUAAUUCGAUGCAACGCGAAGAACCUUACCUGGUCUUGACAUCCUGAGAACUUGGCAGAGAUGCCUCGGUGCCUUCGGGAACUCAGAGACAGGUGCUGCAUGGCUGUCGUCAGCUCGUGCUG